rnacentral:rRNA from 1 species
CCCUUAGAUGUUCGGGGCCGCACGCGCGCUACACUGAAGGAAUCAGCACGUCUUUCUCCUUUUCCGAAAGGACUGGGUAACCCGCUGAACCUCCUUCGUGCUAGGGAUUGGGGCUUGUAAUUCUUCCCCAUGAACGAGGAAUUCCCAGUAAGCGCGAGUCAUAAGCUCGCGUUGAUUACGUCCCUGCCCUUUGUACACACCGCCCGUCGCUACUACCGAUUGGAUGGUUUAGUGAGAUCCUCGGAUUGGUCCCGGAGCGGCCUCUGGUCGUGCCGGAGUGCCGAAAAGAAUGUCGAACUUGAUCAUCUAGAGGAAGUAAAAGUCGUAACA